rnacentral:rRNA from 1 species
AGAGUUUGAUCCUGGCUCAGGAUGAACGCUAGCGGCAGGCUUAACACAUGCAAGUCGAGGGGCAGCAUAAUGGAUAGCAAUAUCUAUGGUGGCGACCGGCGCACGGGUGCGUAACGCGUAUGCAACCUACCUUUAACAGGGGCAUAACACUGAGAAAUUGGUACUAAUUCCCCAUAACAUUCGAGAAGGCAUCUUCUUGGGUUAAAAACUCCGGUGGUUAAAGAUGGGCAUGCGUUGUAUUAGCUAGUUGGUGAGGUAACGGCUCACCAAGGCGACGAUACAUAGGGGGACUGAGAGGUUAACCCCCCACAUUGGUACUGAGACACGGACCAAACUCCUACGGGAGGCAGCAGUGAGGAAUAUUGGUCAAUGGACGCAAGUCUGAACCAGCCAUGCCGCGUGCAGGAAGACGGCUCUAUGAGUUGUAAACUGCUUUUGUACUAGGGUAAACGCUUCUACGUGUAGGAGCCUGAAAGUAUAGUACGAAUAAGGAUCGGCUAACUCCGUGCCAGCAGCCGCGGUAAUACGGAGGAUCCAAGCGUUAUCCGGAUUUAUUGGGUUUAAAGGGUGCGUAGGCGGUUUGAUAAGUUAGAGGUGAAAUGUUAGGGCUCAACCCUGAAACUGCCUCUAAUACUGUUGGACUAGAGAGUAGUUGCGGUAGGCGGAAUGUAUGGUGUAGCGGUGAAAUGCUUAGAGAUCAUACAGAACACCGAUUGCGAAGGCAGCUUACCAAACUAUAUCUGACGUUGAGGCACGAAAGCGUGGGGAGCAAACAGGAUUAGAUACCCUGGUAGUCCACGCAGUAAACGAUGAUAACUCGUUGUCGGCGAUACACAGUCGGUGACUAAGCGAAAGCGAUAAGUUAUCCACCUGGGGAGUACGUUCGCAAGAAUGAAACUCAAAGGAAUUGACGGGGGCCCGCACAAGCGGAGGAACAUGUG